GAGUGUAUAGCUCAGCGUAGAGUGCACGCCUAGCAUGCACGAGGUCCUGGGUUCAAUCCCCAGUACCUCCG
rnacentral:tRNA from 1 species